GGAGGAUCAUUAUCGAUUCUAACACCUCAAUCACUGUGAACUGGGUCGCUGCAUGGCAGCUCCUUUCGGGGUUUGGGCUCCCUAAUUAAAUCGGAUUGCUGGCGUGCGCGCUUCAAGGCGUGUGUGCUUGCUUUUCGGGCCCCGAUUGGAGUUUGUUCGUGCAGUGGUUUUCACGGCCGAGCCCCGUGCUCGGCAUUCGUGAACCUUUUUACCAACCUUGCAAAUUUGCAGACUGUACUGUUGGUCAAGCUUGUCUUGAUAACUUAAUCAUGGACAACUUUCAACGGUGGAUCUCUUGGCUCGUGGAUCGAUGAAGAACGCAGCAAAACGCGAUAUGUAGUGUGAAUUGCAGAAUUCAGUGAAUCAUCGAAUCUUUGAACGCAAAUGGCGCCCCUGGGUAUUCCCAGGAGCAUGUCUGUCUCAGUGUCGUUUUCACCUCGAGCACGCUUCGGCGUGGUGGUCUUGAGGCGUCUGGUUGCUUUCAGCUCCCAGUCCCUUGAAAUAGAGUGGCCGGACAGUGUGUGCUCUCGGGUCUGGUUCGCCCCGAACUCGCUCGCACGGCUGAUGGUGAGAUUUCUUUUAAUCUCCCUUGUCGUGUCGCAGCGGACUGUGGGGUUGAGCCAGGCUCCGAAACGGGCCUCUUGUCCGAAACAAGCCAGUUCUGGAAAACGCAGUUUUUCGUUCACUCGGAAAACAUCUUCGACCUGAGAUCAGGCAAGACUACCCGCUGAAUUUAAGCAUAUUAAUAAGCGGAGGAAAAGAAACU
rnacentral:rRNA from 1 species